rnacentral:rRNA from 1 species
CCUACGGGAGGCAGCAGUGAGGAAUAUUGGUCAAUGGACGAGAGUCUGAACCAGCCAAGUAGCGUGAAGGAUGACUGCCCUAUGGGUUGUAAACUUCUUUUAUAUGGGAAUAAAACGUUCCACGUGUGGGAUUUUGUAUGUACCAUAUGAAUAAGGAUCGGCUAACUCCGUGCCAGCAGCCGCGGUAAUACGGAGGAUCCGAGCGUUAUCCGGAUUUAUUGGGUUUAAAGGGAGCGUAGAUGGGUUGUUAAGUCAGUUGUGAAAGUUUGCGGCUCAACCGUAAAAUUGCAAUUGAUACUGGCAGUCUUGAGUACAGUUGAGGUAGGCGGAAUUCGUGGUGUAGCGGUGAAAUGCUUAGAUAUCACGAAGAACUCCGAUUGCGAAGGCAGCCUACUAAACUGCCACUGACAUUGAUGCUCGAAAGUGUGGGUAUCAAACAGGAUUAGAUACCCUUGUAGUC